rnacentral:rRNA from 1 species
UACGAAGGGGGCUAGCGUUGCUCGGAAUCACUGGGCGUAAAGGGUGCGUAGGCGGGUCUUUAAGGCAGGGGUGAAAUCCUGGAGCUCAACUCCAGAACUGCCUUUGAUACUGAGGAUCUUGAGUACGGGAGAGGUGAGUGGAGCUGCGAGUGUAGAGGUGAAAUUCGUAGAUAUUCGCAAGAACACCAGUGGCGAAGGCGGCUCACUGGCCCGUAACUGACGCUGAGGCACGAAAGCGUGGGGAGCAAACAGG